rnacentral:rRNA from 1 species
UACGAAGGGGACUAGCGUUGUUCGGAAUCACUGGGCGUAAAGCGCACGUAGGCGGAUAUGUCAGUCAGGGGUGAAAUCCCGGGGCUCAACCUCGGAACUGCCUUUGAUACAGCAUAUCUUGAGUCCGAUAGAGGUGGGUGGAAUUCCUAGUGUAGAGGUGAAAUUCGUAGAUAUUAGGAAGAACACCAGUGGCGAAGGCGACUCACUGGACACGUAUUGACGCUGAGGUGCGAAAGCGUGGGGAGCAAACAGG